rnacentral:misc_RNA from 1 species
GAUGAAGAAUGUAGCGAAAUGCGAUACGUAAUGUGAAUUGCAGAAUUCAGUGAAUCAUCGAAUCUUUGAACGCACAUUGCGCCCCCUGGUAUUCCGGGGGGCAUGCCUGUCCGAGCGUCAUUGCUGCCCUCAAGCACGGCUUGUGUGUUGGGCUCCGUCCCCCCGGGGACGGGCCCGAAAGGCAGCGGCGGCACCGAGUCCGGUCCUCGAGCGUAUGGGGCUUUGUCACCCGCUCUGUAGGCCCGGCCGGCGCCAGCCGACAACCCAUCAUCCUUUUCAGGUUGACCUCGGAUCAGGUAGGGAUACCCGCUGAACUUAAGCAUAUCAAUAAGCGGAGGA